rnacentral:rRNA from 1 species
AGCAGCCGCGGUAAUUCCAGCUCCAAUAGCGUAUAUUAAAGUUGUUGCAGUUAAAAAGCUCGUAGUUGAAUUUCGGGAUCAAUAUAUCGGUCGUGCCAUCGGUACGUACUGGUAUGAUUGGUUUCUCACCUUCUAAAGAACCGUAAUGCCAUUAAUUUGGUGUCACGGGGAAUUAGGACUGUUACCUUGAAAAAAU